rnacentral:lncRNA from 1 species
GCGAGCGAACAGCUGCAAGAAGACAGUUCAGAAGCAGCCCACAUAGUAGCAAGAAUGAAGUAAUAUUUCCGCCCACUUCCACAAUAUAAUGAUGUCACCCAGACUCAAGCAUCAUUGAUAAGAUGGAGCUACGAAACCACUACCCGUUGAAUUAAAUUUGAUUUUUUUUAAGAUUAUUUAGUGGGGUGUUGGCGGCCAUGUAAUUCAGUGCAUGAACUGCUUCUUACGUUAAACAAAAGAUUGUCUAUACUUAGUAUUACUGGGAAGGAAGCAUACGGUAGCCACUGUGCACAUAGAAAACAAGUUUUCUCUAAGAUUUAAGCAUCUUAGUAUUUGUUAACCUGUUUCUUGCAAGACCAUUUCUUGAAAGGUAUAUUCAAGAUAACUACAUUAAAAAAAAUUGCAUAAGAUUUAGUUGUGAUGAUUUUCUUUUCUGGUAAAUGUCUCAGGUUAUUCAUGGAUGAUGAUCCACCGGAUCCAGCCCUUUGCAAACAAAAUUCCUUCACCAGCCUCCAGACAGCUUGGGUUGUCCAUGUACUGUAAGACAGGAUGGACAGAGGUAUAGAUGCUUUGGAAUAUACAGCUGGCCUUAGACUCACCAGAAGAAGAAAAGUGCCACUAAGCCAGAGGCAGUGUUACCACAUCAGCUUGCUGGAGGCAUUCCCCAGAGCCCCCAGUGCUCUGUCGCCGAAGAAACACUGUUUUCUGGUCAAAACAAAAUGGACAAAUACAAUGGUCUGGCUUUCUUCAUGGUUUCCUUCCAUAUAAUUGCUCUUAAUGAUGGUGGUGGCGGUACAAUUAGUAAGUAGAUUUUUUUUUGUAUCUUUUCAGAAUGGAUUGUUUAAAUGAUACCAUUCUGUACUUGCCAGGGUUUAUUUAUUAUAUAAUUUUUGUCAUCUACCUUGCUUAUGCUACUGUGCAGAAUACACUGCUACUUGUGCAGAAUGACUGGUUUAAUAUUAAAUAUGAAUAUUUAUUUAAAUAUUUUUAAUAUUUAUUUAAAAAAUAAAUGUAUUUGCAAAAGCUUUUUCYCUUAGAAU